GUGCUCGCUUCGGCAGCACAUAUACUAAAAUUGGAACCAUACAGAGAAGAUUAGCAUGGCCCCUGCACAAGGAAGUGAGACAACCAAGGAAUUAAAGAAGCCACAUUCAC